GAUGAACGCUGGCGGCGUGCCUAAUACAUGCAAGUCGAGCGAACGGACGAGAAGCUUGCUUCUCUGAUGUUAGCGGCGGACGGGCGAGUAACACGUGGAUAACCUACCUAUAAGACUGGGAUAACUUCGGGAAACCGGAGCUAAUACCGGAUAAUAUUUUGAACCGCAUGGUUCAAAAGUGAAAGACGGUCUUGCUGUCACUUAUAGAUGGAUCCGCGCUGCAUUAGCUAGUUGGUAAGGUAACGGCUUACCAAGGCAACGAUGCAUAGCCGACCUGAGAGGGUGAUCGGCCACACUGGAACUGAGACACGGCCCAGACUCCUACGGGAGGCAGCAGUAGGGAAUCUUCCGCAAUGGGCGAAAGCCUGACGGAGCAACGCCGCGUGAGUGAUGAAGGUCUUCGGAUCGUAAAACUCUGUUAUUAGGGAAGAACAUAUGUGUAAGUAACUGUGCACAUCUUGACGGUACCUAAUCAGAAAGCCACGGCUAACUACGUG
rnacentral:rRNA from 1 species